ACCAGGACUCCGUGCCCCACACACAGCCUGCUCGGAGAAGCAAGGAUCUCAGACACCUGGCCGGGCCGUGCAGGGAGCCUAUGGAGCGGAGGCUGGGAAGACCACCAACAGGCGCCCAGCCCUCCCUUGGGCACUUCCGCCCGCCAGGACACAUCUGGCCCUGACAUCCUCAGGCCCCAGGAGCCUCACCAGUGGCCAGACCUCCAACGCACUUCCUCUAGCUGCUGCAACCUCAGGAUACACCUGCAGGGCUGCUCGGCCCAGCGGCCUCUCCCUGCCCCGCCGAGGCCGGAUUCCUGGAACUACGGGGCCCUCUGCCGGCCAGGCCUCCGCGCGGC
rnacentral:lncRNA from 1 species